rnacentral:rRNA from 1 species
GACGAACGCUGGCGGCGCGCUUAACACAUGCAAGUCGAACGGAAAGGCCUGCUUUCCCUUGUGGAUUGCGGGUACUCGAGUGGCGAACGGGUGAGUAACACGUGAGUGAUCUGCCCCCAACUUGGGUAUAAGCCUGGGAAACUGGGUCUAAUUCCCGAUAGGACUGCAGGGUGGUGCCUGUGGUGGAAAACGAUUUUCUAGUGGUUGGGGAUGAGCUCGCGGCCUAUCAGCUUGUUGGUGGGGUAAUGGCCUACCAAGGCGGCGACGGGUAGCCGGCCUGGGAGGGUGGACGGCCACAUUGGGACUGAGAUACGGCCCAGACUCCUACGGGAGGCAGCAGUGGGGAAUAUUGCACAAUGGGCGGAAGCCUGAUGCAGCGACGCCGCGUGGGGGAUGACGGCCUUCGGGUUGUAAACUCCUUUCGACCGCGAGGAAGCCACCUGGUUGGACGGGUGGUGACGGUAGUGGUAGAAGAAGCACCGGCUAACUACGUG